AGCCCAGCUUUGUGGGUGCUGCCGCUGAUUUCCACGCUCAGCCCUGGUUCUCCUUGCAGGACGCACUCCCCUUCUCUAGGCUACUGUGAAGAUGUUCUUAACAGAGCAGAUGGCGGAGGCCUGACCUCUCCCCCAUCCUGACUCCCCUAACCCAGCCCUCGAUCUCACCUUAAACCUGACCCUGCUUCAGUGUUUACCCGUUAGCCUAGGGGCUGACCCCUUGACCCACACCCCCCAUCGUUCUAACCCUUAAUCUCUACCCCGUUCUCAUGCUGUACCCCAGCCAUACUCCAAUUUGAACCCUGCCCUUUUCUUGGCAGCCCCAAGUCUAACGUAACCCGCAGACAUCCAGAUCCAGUCGUGAUUGAAAUUAAGGUAAACUGAGGCACAAAACUUCCACCCAUGUAAUUUUUUGGGAAAGCAAUAGCAAUUACCAACAAAAGGAAAUCUAUCUCAUCGGCAAGCUGAAAGACCCCAAAUGAGGGCAGUCAUCCUUAAAAGGAGGAGCCACCAAAAAUCAGAAGGCCGCAUCUCGACCGGGAAGACACCGGGAUUGGUUACAGAACCUUAGCAUCAGAGGUGUAGGGGGUAGGACUGGCUGGCAGUUGGGAACGCGGGCCAACGAGCUCUUGGCGGUAGCCACGUGCAUAGAGCGGACCAGGCGCUCAUGGAGGUGACGGCUGGUGUGACUGACAUAACAGGUUUCCUUCACCGAAAAGCCGUUCCUAAGGAGACGGAACUCGUAAGGCAGCCGGCGUCUAGUGUCAGAUACGAGAUACGGGGCACAAAGCGCUGGACCUGGAGUCAGGAAGACUGAAUUCAAAUCCAGCCUCAGACCUGCCACUUCACCUCUGUCUGCCUCAAUUUCUUCAGCUGUAAAAUGGGGGGCAUACUAGCACCUACGCCAUAGAGUUGUGGUGAGGACCAAGGCAGGCAAUACUUGUAAAGCGCUUAACAGUGCUUAAUGCAUGUUCCUGCCGUCUCCUCAGUUUCUGAGACUGAUUCUCAGACCGGAGCCAAGGAAAAUGGCACAAGGAUCUCUAAGGCCCUCCCUCCCAGCCCGAGGACAGUGGGGUUCUUGAGAUUCUGUUAGCCUUGGUUUGGGCCUUGGGGGUCACUCUGAAGGCGGUACCAAACAUUGGUUAUGAAUUCAAGCCCUUGCCCCAGUGAGUACGUGGCAAGCUUUAUCCAAAGCAAUGCCAGAGAGUUAGGAAAAUGAGCUUUAUCUGCCAGGAGAUGGAGAAUAAUUAGACAUGAGGUUAAUGAUAAACUCGUGUCCCUGCUGUUAAUAGUAGAUGCUCCAUAUGCUUUUGUGAUAUUGAACUUAUAACCACCACGACUCAUCCCCUUGUCACGCCCAUCUUUUCCUGCUUCUCACAUUUCUCCCUGGUGAUGUUUGUCCAAAGCCCCAGCCUUUUCCGUGAAUGGGGCCUCUUUCCUGCUUCCCACCCCUCCCUCUCAAAGUCUUAGGGAAGGGCAAAGCCUUUCCUAUCCUGCCUCAUCUCCCUCCCACCCUGUCCUUUCCUCUCUGCCAUGAUCACUCUCAUUCUUAUUUGUUCUGGGAUCCUCCCUGUUCCCGUACCCACAGACAAGGAAAGGAUGUCUUUCCUUGGCCAUGAGACCACUUCAGAAAAUUUGGGUUCAUAUUCCACCUCAAAGCUGUGAAAUUGGAGAAAUCCGUUCCUAUCUUUGAAACUCAGUUUUCUCAUCUGUAAAAUAGGGAUAAUUCACAUGGCUAUCAAAAGCAAUGUAUAAAUUUAAGCUGCCUUUAUUUUUUCUCGUGUGAACUGUUACUCUUAAUAAAUAACCAAUGGUUAAUG